rnacentral:lncRNA from 10 species
CUGAUAGGUUUAUCAGGGGUUUCUCUUUUUACUUUUUCCUCAUUUUUUAAGAAGUGCCUUUUGCCUCCUGCCAUGAUUCUGAAGCCUCCCCAGCCAUAUGGAACUGUAAGUCCAAUUAAACCUCUUUUUGUUCCCAGUUUCAGGUAUGUCUUUAUCAGCAGUAUGAAAAUGGACUGAUACACAUGCCAUACCUAUAUUUCUGACUUACAAAAGCAUGAGCUAAUAAACAUGUGCUGUUUUAAACUGCUACGUUCAUGCUUCCUCUCAGUAUCUGAUGACAAUGAGAAAUGCAUUUGAAGAGAUAAACACUUCCCGAAAGACCAUCAUGAUAGGAGCUGAUACUCACAGAUGCCUUAGUGAAUGAUUACGUCUCAGGAUGCCAUAAGGAAUACACAGAAGGGUACAAUCUCAAGCCUGGCAUGGCAGAUGGGCUUGGCCAUGAAAACUCCUUACCAGAGAACAUGAGUCCGUGGCUCUAAAAACAACUACAACCCAAGUACAGACACAAAGAGCCUAGUAUGAAGUCAGUUGCACAGACGCAGCCCUGGUAUACAGUGGACUCACAGCCUCUUGUUUCUAAUAAUUUCCCAGAACACCCGUGUGGUAAGCUUUUUGGUGGAACUGAUUAUGAUAAUCUGGAGUGAAGUUUAGAGUUUGAGUAAGAAAUGAAGUAGUGAAUGAGCAAUGGCAGCAGCAGCAAGUUCUGUGCUUCCCUCAGCUGAUUUCCAUUCAUGGGACCUGUUAUGUUAGGUAGACCCACUCUGGGGCUGCUUUCCAUCAUUCAUGCCCUGUCACGCAGGCUGAC